rfam:Echinostoma caproni strain Egypt genome assembly, scaffold: ECPE_scaffold0017029
GCACUGCGGAUGAGUCCCACACAGGACGAAACAACUGUCCAAUGC